UGAGGAAUAUUGGUCAAUGGGCGAGAGCCUGAACCAGCCAAGUAGCGUGCAGGAUGACGGCCCUAUGGGUUGUAAACUGCUUUUAUGUGGGGAUAAAGUGAGCUACGUGUAGUUUAUUGCAGGUACCACAUGAAUAAGGACCGGCUAAUUCCGUGCCAGCAGCCGCGGUAAUACGGAAGGUCCAGGCGUUAUCCGGAUUUAUUGGGUUUAAAGGGAGCGUAGGCCGUGGAUUAAGCGUGUUGUGAAAUGUAGACGCUCAACGUCUGAAUUGCAGCGCGAACUGGUUCACUUGAGUAUGCACAACGUAGGCGGAAUUCGUCGUGUAGCGGUGAAAUGCUUAGAUAUGACGAAGAACUCCGAUUGCGAAGGCAGCUUACGGGGGCACAACUGACGCUGAAGCUCGAAGGUGCGGGUAUCAAACAGGAUUAGAUACCCUGGUAGUCCGCACAGUNNCGAUGGAUGCCCGUUGUUAGUUCACUUAUGAAUUAGCGACCAAGCGAAAGCAUUAAGCAUCCCACCUGGGGAGUACGCCGGNNCGGU
rnacentral:rRNA from 1 species